AACGCUGCGCCGCCAUGGCUUUGGGGGAAUCAAGCGCCUUGGUCCGAAGAAAUCCGUCUUCUUUUCCUAGCUAGGAUCUACGUACUUGUGCAAGAGUAUGUCAUGCAUGCUACGCUAUAUGUUAUUCCUACAUGUUCUUGGUCGAUCUGUCGCUACAUAUGGUUUGUGCAGACAUCAAUACUCGUCUGUCUUUGAUUGAUUUGUUUUGACACCACUCUUUGAUCCGGAGUUUGGUUCAUGUAAUACUAUUUCAUUAGAUAUGUGGAUUUCUUCUUUGAGCUGAGCGUUUGACGCUGUGUGUGUGUGUUUCAUGAUUGAUUCAUGAUCCGAAUAUAUACGGCCCAUAACUAUCCCAGCUAGCUGUUUUCUAGAGAGAUAUGAUCUAAUAGUAUUUAGAUCAGAAGAACAACAUGAAAUACACAUAUAUGUGCAUCUUCUAGCUUCGAUCCCAUAUAUGUACCUUUCCCUGAUCUCUUCUUAUGAUCGAAACGUGUGCUCUAGUUCUAAGAAGUUGUGAGUUUAGCUUUGCCUUAAUACGUGUAUUUUAGUUUUGUCAGGAAAAGAAGAAGCAAAGCUAAAGAUUCAUUACAUGAUACUAGUACUCUAUUAUACUGCAUGCAAAUGCAACACAUUAAACUAAAGCCCAACCGUAUUCACGAAUCACGAGCUUGAGUAAGACCAGCAGCCUGCUAAAGAUUCUUUGACUGCCACAAAUCUCUCUUGGGCAUUGCAUAUACUAGCUAGUAUCUAUGAGAGGUUCCAGGUGCGGCUGGUGCCAAGCUAGAGCUACCCCUGCUACUGCUAGCAUGCCAUGGCAUCGUAUUGGCCAGUUAGCUGAGGCAGUCCUUCUAGCGUCACAUGCAUGCACACCUCUUUAUUCCAGUCUUCCUUUUCCUACGCAACAACCCCCAAUGUGAGGAUUAUGUUUACUGAUAAAGUUGAAAAGUAUCGAAGAGUAGCAAUAUGCGUCAUCUAUAUUGUAUUAUGCAUAUAUUAUCUGUCAUUUCAUUGUUAUGGAUUCAUGUAUCAAAUAAAUUCUUGUUCAGUUAAUGUUUCCUGAAAAAUGUUGUCCAGUUUAUGAGCCGGGGGCUUCAUCGUUUUCAUCUACUUGUUGAGCUACUGCCUAAUGGUACCUAGCUCCUUAGUAUACAUUGGAAAAAUGUUUUUUUAUUUUGUACUCUCUUUAUCUUAUAAUUCAUUUUGGCUUUUGUAGAUAAAUAGAUUUUAUUAUAUAUAUAGAGAGAGAUACUAUAUCUGAAUUGAAUAACAAGUUCUAUAUAUAAAAAAUUAAAACAACUUUACCCUUAAAAAAAGGAAGAACACUACCAGCGCAGGUCACUUGUUUGUUACUGUAUAACUAGGUGGAGAACUUCUACAAUUAGGAAAUCAACUCUGAUCUAGUAGCUAGUGUUAUUAUAAAAUAGUUUUUUUCCUACGGGCAUGUGAUUUUCUUUUUAGUUAGGAUAGCAUGCAAAAGAUAAUAAAUGGUAGGAAAGUAUGUAUCCUCGUAGUGAUAUAAGACUGUCCGUAGCAAAUCCUGUAACAUAGGGGUUCUGAUUGUAGAUUACACUGUUUUACUGGGCAAAAUUUGAAAUAGAGGAUCUGAUAAAAUAGCUGCUCAAGACAGACUAAUCAUGGCCUGGUUUUGUUUAACUUUUAAACUAGUGCAUUCCUUGUAGACAGUAGACUUUAUCUAGAUAUUGUGCAUCCUUGGUAUAGGACAAAGCUUCAUCUGGACAACUUCUUUUGAUAUAAUAAACUGUGAAUUAGGCUGGUUCAAGAAUCACAUUUUUUUAGUUUUGUUUCUUCAUGUAUACACUACUGACCUCUAUUACUAAUGUGUUUACAUGGUUCAAAACUGUUUUGGUAAUCGAAUUUAUUACCAUAUAAUCGUCAUGUAAUCAAACUAACAAAUUAUAAAGAAACCUGAAAAAAAAUUAUAGAUGCUAAGAUGCAUUUCAUUGUUGUCUCUCUCUUUAAUAUAUCUUAUCAUAGGAUAAAUUAGAACUUAAAAUUUAAUAUAACAGUAGAAUAGAUAAUUAAAUGUAUCUAUAAUUUUUUGAAAAAAAAUAUAACUUUUGAUACUUUGAUUAUACAACGAUUGCAUCACAAGCUCGAUUGGAUAAUGGUUUUGGAUGGUUAAAGUCAUGUAUGUGUACUACAAAUAUCCCUUUGUCGAGCAUCGAGUUUCACCGAGAGCUUGACACUUGAUAAAGUCUUCUUUACCGAGAGUUAAAGUAUGCCGAGAGUUUUGUGCUUGGCAAAGGAUGUCUAUACCGAAUGUCUUUGUUUGUCGAGAAUGUCACUCAGCAAAGCAUAUUUUGCUGGGUGUCCGAUUAAUUGUUCUCGAAAGAGAGCUGGGCACUUGACAAAGAGCCGGAUUCCGAUAGUGUAAUUGUCUCGUACAUAAUAUCUUGCUUUUGACGGAUUUCUAAGUUAGUAGCUAAAUAUUGCAUUCUCUCUCGUUAGGUUGAAACAAUUUAAUUAAUUUGCUGCGAGAUAGAAAGAAUGGAAUCAAACUAAAGAAUUAUUUCUAAUGCGAUUGUAUUGGUUCAUGGGAUCCCUCGAGACAUCACGUACUUUGUUUUUCUAGAUGAACUCGAUCGUCUUCGUCUAUAUGUUUAACUUUUGCACGAGUUAUUUCUUGUGCAGUGCUAUCCAUGCUUUAUAUUCCUACUAGUAGUUCGUAGAUAUAGCUCUAGUUACAUAUAUGUACGUACCACUAACAUAAUAUAUGCUAGUAUAUGAUGUCAAUGCUGGAGACACUGCAAGUGUAGCACAGUUAAAAAAAACUCGUUUGC
rnacentral:lncRNA from 7 species